rnacentral:tRNA from 2 species
UAGGAAGUGGUGUAACGGAAGCACAAAGAGUUUUGCUCUCUUUAGUCAGGGUUCGAAUCCUUUCUUUCUAG